GAAGUACACCUCACGUGGACCAUCCAUGUACAUCAGUGCUUGGUUCCCACAGAUCAGUGGUUGCCUGAGGCCAAGAUGUGGAAGAUGGGAUUGACUGCAAAACUACAGAAGGAAUAUUUGGGGGGGUGGCUCUAAUCCUAUAGGACUGUUGGGCUUGAAAAUGAAGGAAAAAAUAAGGAAGGAGGGAGAAGGAAGAAGAAAAAGAAGAAGAGACAGAUCUAUG
rnacentral:lncRNA from 1 species